GACGAACGCUGGCGGCGUGCCUAAUACAUGCAAGUUGAACGAGAGCAACCGGUGCUUGCACUGGUCAAUCUAGUGGCGAACGGGUGAGUAACACGUGGGUAACCUGCCCAUCAGAGGGGGAUAACAUCCGGAAACGGAUGCUAAAACCGCAUAGGUCUUCGAACCGCAUGGUUUGAAGAGGAAAAGAGGCGCAAGCUUCUGCUGAUGGAUGGACCCGCGGUGCAUUAGCUAGUUGGUGAGGUAACGGCUCACCAAGGCCGUGAUGCAUAGCCGACCUGAGAGGGUGAUCGGCCACAUUGGGACUGAGACACGGCCCAAACUCCUACGGGAGGCAGCAGUAGGGAAUCUUCCGCAAUGGACGCAAGUCUGACGGAGCAACGCCGCGUGAGUGAAGAAGGUUUUCGGAUCGUAAAACUCUGUUGUUAGAGAAGAACAAGUGCUAGAGUAACUGUUAGCGCCUUGACGGUAUCUAACCAGAAAGCCACGGCUAACUACGUG
rnacentral:rRNA from 1 species